AACGCACGAGACCUGCGGACCUGCGGAAGGAUCAUUACCGAGUUUACAACUCCCAAACCCAAUGUGAACCAUACCAAACUGUUGCCUCGGCGGGGUCACGCCCCGGGUGCGUCGCAGCCCCGGAACCAGGCGCCCGCCGGAGGGACCAACCAAACUCUUUCUGUAGUCCCCUCGCGGACGUUAUUUCUUACAGCUCUGAGCAAAAAUUCAAAAUGAAUCAAAACUUUCAGCAACGGAUCU
rnacentral:misc_RNA from 1 species